CUAGUAACUGCGAGUGAAGCGGGAAGAGCCCAAAUUUAAAAUCUGGCGGUCUUGGGCCGUCCGAGUUGUAAUCUGGAGAAGUGUUAUCCGCGCCGGACCGUGUACAAGUCCCUUGGAAGAGGGCAUCCUAGAGGGUGAAAAUCCCGUCUAUGACACGGACCGCCGGUGCUUUUGUGAUGCGCUCUCGAUGAGUCGAGUUGUUUGGGAAUGCAGCUCUAAAUGGGUGGUAAACUCCAUCUAAGGCUAAAUAUAGGCGAGAGACCGAUAGCGAACAAGUACCGUGAGGGAAAGAUGAAAAGAACUUUGGAAAGAGAGUUAAACAGUACGUGAAAUUGCUGAAAGGGAAACGAUUGAAGUCAGUCGCGUCGUCUGGGAUUCAGCCUCGCCUCGGCGGGGUUUACUUCCCGGUUGACGGGUCAGCGUCGAUUUUGGCUGCCGGAAAAGGACGGAGGGAAUGUGGCACCCUCGGGUGUGUUAUAGCCCUCUGUCGGAUCACGGUGGCUGGGAUCGAGGAUUGCAGCGCAGCUCCUUCGGGGGUGCGGGUUCGCCCAGCUCAUGCGCUUAGGAUGCUGGCAUAAUGGCUUUAAACGACCCGUCUUGAAACACGGACCAAGGAGUCUAACACGCCCGCGAGUGUUAGGGUGGUAAACCCUUGCGCGCAAUGAAAGUGAAAGCUGGGAACCCUCACGGGUGCACCGGCGCCCGGACUUGGGGCCUCGGCCCUUAGCCCGCGGUGGAGCGUGUGUGUUGGGACCCGAAAGAUGGUGAACUAUGCCUGAAUAGGGUGAAGCCAGGGGAAACCCUGGUGGAGGCUCGUAAGCGAUUCUGACGUGCAAAUCGAUCGUCGAAUUUGGGUAUAGGGGGCGAA
rnacentral:rRNA from 1 species